rnacentral:rRNA from 1 species
CACGUAGCUAGCCGGUGCUUUUUCUGCAGGUACCGUCACUUUCGCUUCUUCCCUACUAAAAGAGGUUUACAACCCGAAGGCCGUCGUCCCUCACGCGGCGUUGCUGCAUCAGGCUUGCGCCCAUUGUGCAAUAUUCCCCACUGCUGCCUCCCGUAGGAGUCUGGGCCGUGUCUCAGUCCCAGUGUGGCCGGUCACCCUCUCAGGCCGGCUACCCGUCGUCGCCUUGGUGGGCCGUUACCUCACCAACUAGCUGAUAGGCCGCGAGUCCAUCCUUGACCGAAGUUCUUUCCAGCCCCUCACCAUGCGGCGGAGGCUCGUAUCCGGUAUUAGACACCGUUUCCAGUGCUUAUCCCAGAGUCAAGGGCAGGUUACUCACGUGUUACUCACCCGUUCGCCACUAAUCAGAAGAGCAAGCUCUCCGUCAUCGCUCGACUUGCAUGUGUUAAGCACGCCGCCAGCGUUCGUCCUGGCCAGGAUCAAACUC